CCUACGGGCGGCAGCAGUGGGGAAUAUUGGUCAAUGGGCGCAAGCCUGACCCAGCAACGCCGCGUGAAGGAAGAAGGCUUUCGGGUUGUAAACUUCUUUUUUCAGGGACGAAGCAAGUGACGGUACCUGACGAAUAAGCCACGGCUAACUACAUGCCAGCAGCCGCGGUAAUACGUAGGUGGCAAGCGUUAUCCGGAUUUACUGGGUGUAAAGUGCGUGUAGGCGGGACUGCAAGUCAGAUGUGAAAACCACGGGCUCAACCUGUGGCUUGCAGUUGAAACUGUAGUUCUUGAGUACUGGAGAGGCAGACGGAAUUCCUGGUGUAGCGGUGAAAUGCGUAGAUAUUAGGAGGAACACCGGUGGCGAAGGCGGUCUGCUGGACAGCAACUGACGCUGAGGCGCGAAAGCGUGGGGAGCAAACAGGAUUAGAUACCCCGGUAGUC
rnacentral:rRNA from 1 species